rnacentral:rRNA from 1 species
UACGUAGGGGGCAAGCGUUGUCCGGAUUUAUUGGGCGUAAGGAGCGUGUAGGCGGCUGGGUAGGUCCGUUGUGAAAACUCGAGGCUCAACCUCGAGACGCCGAUGGAAACCCCCCGGCUAGAGUCCGGAAGAGGAGAGUGGAAUUCCUGGUGUAGCGGUGAAAUGCGCAGAUAUCAGGAAGAACACCCGUGGCUAAGGCGGCUCUCUAGUACGGUACUGACGCUGAGACGCGAAAGCGUGGGGAGCGAACAGG